AUUGGGCAUGGGCGAAGCCUGACCCAGCUAUGCCGCGUGCAGGAUGACAGCUCUAGUAGUUGUAAACUGCUUUUAUACGGGAAGAAAAGCACCUACGUGUAGGUGUCUGACGGUACCGUAAGAAUAAGGACCGGCUAACUCCGUGCCAGCAGCCGCGGUAAUACGGAGGGUCCAAGCGUUAUCCGGAUUCAUUGGGUUUAAAGGGUGUGUAGGCGGAAAGGUCAGUCAGUGGUGAAAUCCUACAGCUUAACUGUAGAACUGCCAUUGAUACUUCCUUUCUUGAGUCUAGUUGAAGUGAGCGGAAUGUGUCAUGUAGCGGUGAAAUGCAUAGAUAUGACACAGAACACCGAUUGCGAAGGCAGCUCGCUAAGCUAGUACUGACGCUGAGGCACGAAAGCGUGGGUAGCGAACAGGAUUAGAUACCCUGGUAGUCCACGCCGUAAACGAUGAUUACUCGAUGUUGGCGAUAUAAUGUCAGCGUCCAAGCGAAAGUGUUAAGUAAUCCACCUGGGGAGUACGGUCGCAAGAUUGAAACUCAAAGGAAUUGACGGGGGCCCGCACAAGCGGAGGAACAUGUGGUUUAAUUCGAUGAUACGCGAGGAACCUUACCUGGGCUUAAAUGUAAGAUGACAGGCUGGGAAACCAGCUCUCCUUCGGGCAACUUACAAGGUGCUGCAUGGCUGUCGUCAGCUCGUGCCGUGAGGUGUCGGGUUAAGUCCCAUAACGAGCGCAACCCCUAUCCUUAGUUGCCAGCGGAUAAUGCCGGGGACUCUAAGGAAACUGCCCGCGCAAGCGGUGAGGAAGGUGGGGAUGACGUCAAGUCAGCACGGCCCUUACGUCCAGGGCCACACACGUGUUACAAUGGCCGGUACAGAGGGCAGCUACCUGGUGACAGGAUGCGAAUCUCUAAAGCCGGUCUCAGUUCGGAUCGAAGUCUGCAACUCGACUUCGUGAAGUUGGAUUCGCUAGUAAUCGCGCAUCAGCCUCGGCGCGGUGAAUACGUUCCCGGGCCUUGUACACACCGCCCGUCAAGCCAUGGAAGCCGGGGGUACCUGAAGUCAGUCACCGUAAGGAACUGCCUAGGGUAAAACUGGUAACUGGGGCUAAGUCGUAACAAGGUAGCCGUACCGGAAGGUGCGGCUGGAAUACCUCCUUUCU
rnacentral:rRNA from 1 species